rnacentral:other from 1 species
AUGGGCCUGCCCUGCGCGUGAUAGGUAAUGAUGUUAAUCCACCAAGUUGGAUCUUUAGGGAGCCGGAUAAGGGGGUACGGUGUGCAGGUCUUCCCAGGGGAAGAAAGCCUAAUGUCUCCCUUGUGGCACCCACUUAGAAAAAGUGGAUCUGACGCGUUAGCCUACACGGCAGGGCGGGUUUUAU